rnacentral:tRNA from 1 species
GGAAGUAUGGCCUAGUGGUAGAGUACCUGCUUUGCAUGCAGAGCUUUCCUGGUUCAAUUUACACUAUCUCCA